GGGUUGUGAGGUUAAGCGACUAAGCGUACACGGUGGAUGCCCUGGCAGUCAGAGGCGAUGAAGGACGUGCUAAUCUGCGAUAAGCGUCGGUGAGGUGAUAUGAACCGUUAUAACCGGCGAUUUCCGAAUGGGGAAACCCAGUGUGAUUCGUCACACUAUCAUUAACUGAAUCCAUAGGUUAAUGAGGCGAACCGGGGGAACUGAAACAUCUAAGUACCCCGAGGAAAAGAAAUCAACCGAGAUUCCCCCAGUAGCGGCGAGCGAACGGGGAGGAGCCCAGAGCCUGAAUCAGUGUGUGUGUUAGUGGAAGCGUCUGGAAAGGCGCGCGAUACAGGGUGACAGCCCCGUACACAAAAAUGCACAUAUUGUGAGCUCGAUGAGUAGGGCGGGACACGUGGUAUCCUGUCUGAAUAUGGGGGGACCAUCCUCCAAGGCUAAAUACUCCUGACUGACCGAUAGUGAACCAGUACCGUGAGGGAAAGGCGAAAAGAACCCCGGCGAGGGGAGUGAAAAAGAACCUGAAACCGUGUACGUACAAGCAGUGGGAGCCUCUUUUAUGGGGUGACUGCGUACCUUUUGUAUAAUGGGUCAGCGACUUAUAUUCUGUAGCAAGGUUAACCGAAUAGGGGAGCCGAAGGGAAACCGAGUCUUAACUGGGCGUUAAGUUGCAGGGUAUAGACCCGAAACCCGGUGAUCUAGCCAUGGGCAGGUUGAAGGUUGGGUAACACUAACUGGAGGACCGAACCGACUAAUGUUGAAAAAUUAGCGGAUGACUUGUGGCUGGGGGUGAAAGGCCAAUCAAACCGGGAGAUAGCUGGUUCUCCCCGAAAGCUAUUUAGGUAGCGCCUCGUGAAUUCAUCUCCGGGGGUAGAGCACUGUUUCGGCAAGGGGGUCAUCCCGACUUACCAACCCGAUGCAAACUGCGAAUACCGGAGAAUGUUAUCACGGGAGACACACGGCGGGUGCUAACGUCCGUCGUGAAGAGGGAAACAACCCAGACCGCCAGCUAAGGUCCCAAAGUCAUGGUUAAGUGGGAAACGAUGUGGGAAGGCCCAGACAGCCAGGAUGUUGGCUUAGAAGCAGCCAUCAUUUAAAGAAAGCGUAAUAGCUCACUGGUCGAGUCGGCCUGCGCGGAAGAUGUAACGGGGCUAAACCAUGCACCGAAGCUGCGGCAGCGACGCUUAUGCGUUGUUGGGUAGGGGAGCGUUCUGUAAGCCUGUGAAGGUGUGCUGUGAGGCAUGCUGGAGGUAUCAGAAGUGCGAAUGCUGACAUAAGUAACGAUAAAGCGGGUGAAAAGCCCGCUCGCCGGAAGACCAAGGGUUCCUGUCCAACGUUAAUCGGGGCAGGGUGAGUCGACCCCUAAGGCGAGGCCGAAAGGCGUAGUCGAUGGGAAACAGGUUAAUAUUCCUGUACUUGGUGUUACUGCGAAGGGGGGACGGAGAAGGCUAUGUUGGCCGGGCGACGGUUGUCCCGGUUUAAGCGGGUAGGCUGGUUUUCCAGGCAAAUCCGGAAAAUCAAGGCUGAGGCGUGAUGACGAGGCACUACGGUGCUGAAGCAACAAAUGCCCUGCUUCCAGGAAAAGCCUCUAAGCAUCAGGUAACAUCAAAUCGUACCCCAAACCGACACAGGUGGUCAGGUAGAGAAUACCAAGGCGCUUGAGAGAACUCGGGUGAAGGAACUAGGCAAAAUGGUGCCGUAACUUCGGGAGAAGGCACGCUGAUAUGUAGGUGAAGCGACUUGCUCGUGGAGCUGAAAUCAGUCGAAGAUACCAGCUGGCUGCAACUGUUUAUUAAAAACACAGCACUGUGCAAACACGAAAGUGGACGUAUACGGUGUGACGCCUGCCCGGUGCCGGAAGGUUAAUUGAUGGGGUCAGCGCAAGCGAAGCUCUUGAUCGAAGCCCCGGUAAACGGCGGCCGUAACUAUAACGGUCCUAAGGUAGCGAAAUUCCUUGUCGGGUAAGUUCCGACCUGCACGAAUGGCGUAAUGAUGGCCAGGCUGUCUCCACCCGAGACUCAGUGAAAUUGAACUCGCUGUGAAGAUGCAGUGUACCCGCGGCAAGACGGAAAGACCCCGUGAACCUUUACUAUAGCUUGACACUGAACAUUGAGCCUUGAUGUGUAGGAUAGGUGGGAGGCUUAGAAGUGUGGACGCCAGUCUGCAUGGAGCCGACCUUGAAAUACCACCCUUUAAUGUUUGAUGUUCUAACGUGGACCCGUGAUCCGGGUUGCGGACAGUGUCUGGUGGGUAGUUUGACUGGGGCGGUCUCCUCCUAAAGAGUAACGGAGGAGCACGAAGGUUGGCUAAUCCUGGUCGGACAUCAGGAGGUUAGUGCAAUGGCAUAAGCCAGCUUGACUGCGAGCGUGACGGCGCGAGCAGGUGCGAAAGCAGGUCAUAGUGAUCCGGUGGUUCUGAAUGGAAGGGCCAUCGCUCAACGGAUAAAAGGUACUCCGGGGAUAACAGGCUGAUACCGCCCAAGAGUUCAUAUCGACGGCGGUGUUUGGCACCUCGAUGUCGGCUCAUCACAUCCUGGGGCUGAAGUAGGUCCCAAGGGUAUGGCUGUUCGCCAUUUAAAGUGGUACGCGAGCUGGGUUUAGAACGUCGUGAGACAGUUCGGUCCCUAUCUGCCGUGGGCGCUGGAGAACUGAGGGGGGCUGCUCCUAGUACGAGAGGACCGGAGUGGACGCAUCACUGGUGUUCGGGUUGUCAUGCCAAUGGCACUGCCCGGUAGCUAAAUGCGGAAGAGAUAAGUGCUGAAAGCAUCUAAGCACGAAACUUGCCCCGAGAUGAGUUCUCCCUGACUCCUUGAGAGUCCUGAAGGAACGUUGAAGACGACGACGUUGAUAGGCCGGGUGUGUAAGCGCAGCGAUGCGUUGAGCUAACCGGUACUAAUGAACCGUGAGGCUUAACCUUACAACGCCGAAG
rnacentral:rRNA from 4 species